rnacentral:rRNA from 1 species
UGAGUAACCUGCCCUUAACUCUGGGAUAAGCCUGGGAAACUGGGUCUAAUACCGGAUAUGACUCCUCAUCGCAUGGUGGGGGGUGGAAAGCUUUAUUGUGGUUUUGGAUGGACUCGCGGCCUAUCAGCUUGUUGGUGAGGUAAUGGUUCACCAAGGCGACGACGGGUAGCCGACCUGAGAGGGUGAUCGGCCACAUUGGGACUGAGACACGGCCCAAACUCCUACGGGAGGCAG